AACGAACGCUGGCGGCAUGCCUAACACAUGCAAGUCGAACGAGACCUUCGGGUCUAGUGGCGCACGGGUGCGUAACGCGUUGGAACCUGCCCUUAGGUUCGGAAUCACUCCCCGAAAGGGGUGCUAAUACCGGAUAAUGUCUUCGGACCAAAGAUUUAUCGCCUUUGGAUGGGCCCGCGUUGGAUUAGCUAGUUGGUAGGGUAAAAGCCUACCAAGGCGACGAUCCAUAGCUGGUCUGAGAGGAUGAUCAGCCACACUGGGACUGAGACACGGCCCAGACUCCUACGGGAGGCAGCAGUGGGGAAUAUUGGACAAUGGGCGAAAGCCUGAUCCAGCAAUGCCGCGUGAGUGAUGAAGGACUUAGGGUUGUAAAGCUCUUUUACCCGGGAUGAUAAUGACAGUACCGGGAGAAUAAGCUCCGGCUAACUCCGUG
rnacentral:rRNA from 1 species